rnacentral:lncRNA from 1 species
UCUUAGAGGCGACAGACAUUGCCAGGGUCUGGCAGCUUCUAGACUUCUCUUAAGGCAGGGGAGGAGCUGCUGAGACCUGUAAUUGUAUUUCUGUUUAGUUUACAGACUCUUGUUAGACAUAGGGUAGAAAUAUUUUGGGGUGUGAGUGUGUGUGUAUGUGUGUGUAAAUCUGUAUGUAGGUGCACAUAUACUUGUGUGCAAAGGUAGGGACAUCUUGGUUUCCAUUCUGCAGACAUCAUUUACCUCGUGUGUUUGAGGCAGGGUCUCUCACUAUCCUGGUUGGCCAGGUGCCCACCAGUCUCUACCAUCUGUGCAUCAUGAAUGCAUACCACCUAAUGGCUUCUGGGGGUAGAGAGGAUCCAUUUUCUUCAAGGGUGUGGCUCUUGGUAGUUCACUCACAGCCCAGUGGAUGCUCUACACCCCAAAGUAUAUAAAAAAAUGUUAAGAAGAGAACAUGUAGUUGGGGGAUGAAGAGGAGGGGCAGCUAUAGGAGGAGCUAAGGAAAUGCGAUCAAAAUACAUUGUCAGCAAAUUAAUAACAAUAGUGAUUUGGUAAAGGAAAGAAACAAAGAAUGAACAAAAAAGACCAAGAGAAGAAUGCACCCACAAUGCACCCCGCAUGUUCAGCGUUUUACAUGGUGCUGAGACACAACUCGGGUCCUCAUGAUUUCUAGACAAGCCCCUAGCCACACAGCCAUCUCUCAUCUCCAAGGGUAGGGAUGGCUCUCAGUGUUUCUCUUGUGACACAUAUAUCCUAUUCACAUUUUAGUCUCUGGAACCACUAUACUCGGAGGAAACGGUCAUUUGAUAUCAUUCCCUUCACAAAAUAUGUAAAAGGAAAAAUCAAACCACAGCAUUUGACUGACAGUCUGGAACCUCUCAGGUUAUGUGGCUCUGAACUGAAUGCAGCAACCCUCUCGACCCGUGCUGGGCACUUGUAUUUUUAUCAUGACCAUUGUUAGGAAGACUUCUGUGGUUGUUGUCCACAUGGCCGUUCUCAAUACCAUCUCCUUCCCUUUGGUGAGCAAGGGGCCAUGUAGGCUUUAAUCCACACUGGUCCCUUUGUACCUUGGCAUCUCUUAAAUCGCCCUCCACACUCAGGGCUGAGUGUGUGCACACCUAACACGUUCACAAAUUAAUGGUAGUUGUUUGGGGAGUUAGUUCUCAAAUUUUCAAUAUUGCUGCCUGUUAAAUGAUUCAUUUAUUUACAUAAUUUACACGGUAAAUAUAUUUUUUUCUUCUUUAAACAUCCAUUUGUUUAUUUUGCUUACAUGUAGAAGAGGAGAACAUGGGAUGGCAAACGUGCGGAGGCAGGAGUGUAAUUCAUUCCAGAGAGUUCUCUGUUUCCAUUGUGUGGGCCCCUGAGACCAAAAUCAGGGCCUUAUGCUUGGAUGGCAAGCACUUCAGCCACUGAAGCCCCUCCUUGGCCUAUCCCCUAUCUUUUCCCAAUUUUGUUACCUUUUUUUUGAGAAGCUUAAUUUGCCAAAGCUCAGGAAGAACUCCCUAGAUGUUGCCCAGCUCUCUGGACAUUGACUUUAACCUUCCCCGAGUGGACCAGACCACUGCUCGCUGGCCUCUGUACUUUACCCAAUCCUAAGGCAGCUUUAAACCCUGCCUAUUUCCAUGCUCCAGCAUUCUCAGUUCCUGUCUGUGAUAAACACAUUAAGUAAUGUUGUCACCAUAAAUAGUUCUCAGGACUAAGUUUCUGACCUUUCCAAUAAUUUUUUUCUC